UUAAACUAGAAUAUCUUAAAUUUUAGAUGCCCGAAGUAAGAAGAGCUAACUAUUGUGGGAAUAAAUAAUGUUAGAGCAAGCUAAGUAUAAUGUGGCAAAAUUAUAUGCAAAGUAAUAGUUAGGGGUGAUAGGCCAUUCAAUUUUUACUUAUAACUGGAUUUAGCUGAAAAAUAUCUAGUAUUUUAAGACAUAUUUGAAAAUCUAAGCUUUCAAAUUAACAAAAAUGAGUAUAUUUAAGGUACAGCAGCUUAUUAAUAUAAAAGUGCCUACUUUGGUGUAAAAAAUAAUACUACGAAAAAAUUUUGUUCUGUAGGCUUUGUAUAAGUGUAAUAAUUGUUUUAUACUUAAAUAAUGUUUAAAUUAGUACUAUAUGAAUAAAAGCUAUUAGGAAUUCGGCAAAUUGAUCUCUCAACUGUUUAUCAAAAACAUAGCUAGUUGUUUACAUGAUCAGUUUACUCUGCCCAGUGAUUAAUUUAUUUUAACGGCCGCAGUACACUGACUGUGCAAAGGUAGCGUAAUCAAUUGGCUUUUAAUUGAAGUCGGGCAUGAAAGAGUCAAUGGGGGAAAGCUGUCUUAUUGCUUUUUUUAGGAAAUUACUAAGCAAGUGCAAAUACUUGCUAACAGUAAUAAUAGACGAGAAGACCCUAUAAAUUUUUACUAAGGUGAUUUUUAACUUACACCGUUUUUGUUGGGGCAACAAGUUAACAAUAAAAACUUAAUAAAUUUAACUAGCUAAUCUCUAAAUAAAGCGAGUUUUACUAAAUAUGAUUAAAUUACUAUAGGGAUAACAGCAUAAUUUUUUAUUUAAGAUUGUGACCUCGAUGUUGGAUUAGGGACUUAUUAGAUAAACCAUUUAAAUAAGAGGUUCUGUUCGAACUAAUACACCU
rnacentral:rRNA from 1 species